ACGAACGCUGGCGGCGUGCCUAACACAUGCAAGUCGCACGAGAAAUCCUGGGCAACCGGGAAAGUAAAGUGGCGCACGGGUGAGUAACGCGUGGGUAACCUGCCCUUGAGUUGGGGAUAACCCCCGCGAAAGCGGGGCUAAUACCGAAUAAUAUGUCAGUCUCUAUGGGGAUUGAAAUCAAAGGUAGCCUCUGCAUGCAAGCUAUUGCUCAAGGAUGGGCCCGCGUACCAUUAGCUUGUUGGUAGGGUAAUGGCCUACCAA
rnacentral:rRNA from 1 species